UUUGCCAUCCAGAUUUCAUAACUACAACUGAUGUUCAAUUACAAGGGAUAUUAAUCAGUCUCCGUGGACUAUACACUGUGCCUAGUUUCAUCCUCAGAGACUGAUGUGUAAGCUUAAAGUAAAGACACCAAAUCAAAGUAUCAGUCAUCAAGAGGAAGAACAUUCAAAAUCAUAUUGUGAUACACAAGUCAAGCAAGUCUAUGACCAGCAUUAUGAUGCAGGCCAAGAAAAAAGCUGGAUAUUUGAUUGUAAGGUUGGCACAGUGUUGUGUAAAACCUACCUAUUAUAUACUCUCUCUGUACAUACCUCUUUUAAUGUAUACUUGGUUUUAAGUUAACGUAACGCAUACGAUGUUUUCUAAUAACAUUUUUGAUUACGCACUUUGGCAAACAUUUUUCGACAUCC